rnacentral:rRNA from 1 species
UGGGGAAUAUUGCACAAUGGGCGCAAGCCUGAUGCAGCCAUGCCGCGUGUAUGAAGAAGGCCUUCGGGUUGUAAAGUACUUUCAGCGGGGAGGAAGGCGACAGGGUUAAUAACUCUGUCGAUUGACGUUACCCGCAGAAGAAGCACCGGCUAACUCCGUGCCAGCAGCCGCGGUAAUACGGAGGGUGCAAGCGUUAAUCGGAAUUACUGGGCGUAAAGCGCACGCAGGCGGUCUGUUAAGUCAGAUGUGAAAUCCCCGGGCUUAACCUGGGAACUGCAUUUGAAACUGGCAGGCUUGAGUCUUGUAGAGGGGGGUAGAAUUCCAGGUGUAGCGGUGAAAUGCGUAGAGAUCUGGAGGAAUACCGGUGGCGAAGGCGGCCCCCUGGACAAAGACUGACGCUCAGGUGCGAAAGCGUGGGGAGCAAACA